GUGCUCACUUCGGCAGCACAUAUACUAAAAUCGGAACGAUACAGAGAAGAUUAGCAUGGCCCCUGCGCAAAAGAUGACACGCAAAUUCGUGAAGCAUUCCAUAUUUUU
ensembl:snRNA U6 U6 spliceosomal RNA